GACGGCUCAUUUUCAAAUGCAAGUCACCAUUUGAUGUUGCAAUCAUCAAGCCUCUAGGAAACAGCCAACACUACCACAAAGAAAGGCAGAUGCAAAUUCUGCUCCAGAUAUUAAGAAGAAUCUUGAGGAACAGGAAAGUCAGGUUACUUGGAUUUCCAGUUCCUUCUGGAAAUCAUAGCAUCCAAAGAUGUUCUCAGCUGAAACAGAAUAUUGCAAGAUAUGUUGUUGCAGAUAUGGCCAAGCAAGUCUGAGGUAUUAUCCUCUAAUAGCAUUACAAGAAUUACUUUAAAGAAAUAAAAUACUAGUCUCCUUUG